rnacentral:rRNA from 1 species
GGUGUGGAUAGGGGAGAAAUUCCAAUCGAACCCGGAGAUAGCUGGUUCUCCUCGAAAUAGCUUUAGGGCUAGCCUCGUAUUAGUUUAGCGGAGGUAGAGCACUGAAUUCCUAAGGGGGCGUCAAAGCUUACCAAGGGAUAUCAAACUCCGAAUGCCGCAUAAAUGAUGUACGGGAGUCAGACUGCACGAGAUAAGUUGGGCAGUCAAAAGGGAAAGAGCCCAGACCUACAGCUAAGGUCCCAAAGUGUGUGUUAAGUGGAAAAGGAUGUGGGAUUUCAAAGACAACUAGGAUGUUGGCUCAGAAGCAGCCACACAUUCAAAGAGUGCGUAAUAGCUCACUAGUCGAGAGGUCCUGCGCCGAAAAUGUCCGGGGCUGAAACACAACACCGAAGCUCAGGAAUGUAUUUAUACAUUGGUAGAGGAGCAUUCUUAAAGGGGCGAAGCAGUACCGAUAAGGAGCUGUGGACUUUUAAGAAGAGAGAAUGCCGGAAUGAGUAGCGAGAUGGAGGUGGGAAUCCUCCAGGCCGAAUAUCUAAGGUUUCCAGGGUAAAGCUGAUCUGCCCUGGGUAAGUCGGGGCCUAAGGCAAGGCUGAGAAGCGUAGCUGAUGGACAACAGGUUUAGAUUCCUGUACCACAUGGUAUCAGAACUGUGGGGACGCAGAGGGAUAAGAUGACCGGGGGACAGAUUCCCGGGCAAGCGCAGGAGGUGUCAGGCAGGCAAAUCCGCCUGAUAAGCCAAAGACGUGACGCGGACCGAACCAAAGUAGGGAAGCAUCCGAUUCCAGCUGCCGAGAAAAGCCGCUAUUGUGUACCAUGUGCCCGUACCGUAAACCGACACAGGUGGAUGAGGAGAGAAUCCUAAGGCCGGCGGGAGAAGCAUUGUUAAGGAACUCGGCAAAAUGACCCCGUAACUUCGGGAUAAGGGGUGCCAGAGAGAUCUGGCCGCAGAGAAUAGGCUCAAGCAACUGUUUAGCAAAAACACAGGUCUAUGCGAAACCGUAAGGUGAUGUAUAUGGGCUGACGCCUGCCCGGUGCUGGAAGGUUAAGAGGAGAGGUUAGAGCAAUCGAAGCUUUGAAUUGAAGCCCCAGUAAACGGCGGCCGUAACUAUAACGGUCCUAAGGUAGCGAAAUUCCUUGUCGGGUAAGUUC